GUGCACGCUGGCGGUAGGCCCAACACAUGCCAGUCGAACGGCAGCACAGUAAGAGCUUGCUCUUACGGGUGGCGAGUGGCGGACGGGUGAGGAAUACAUCGGAAUCUACUUUUUCGUGGGGGAUAACGUAGGGAAACUUACGCUAAUACCGCAUACGACCUACGGGUGAAAGCAGGGGAUCUUCGGACCUUGCGCGAUUGAAUGAGCCGAUGUCGGAUUAGCUAGUUGGCGGGGUAAAGGCCCACCAAGGCGACGAUCCGUAGCUGGUCUGAGAGGAUGAUCAGCCACACUGGAACUGAGACACGGUCCAGACUCCUACGGGAGGCAGCAGUGGGGAAUAUUGGACAAUGGGCGCAAGCCUGAUCCAGCCAUACCGCGUGGGUGAAGAAGGCCUUCGGGUUGUAAAGCCCUUUUGUUGGGAAAGAAAAGCAGCAGGUUAAUACCCCGCUGUUCUGACGGUACCCAAAGAAUAAGCACCGGCUAACUUCGUG
rnacentral:rRNA from 1 species